rnacentral:rRNA from 1 species
CAGGGUGACAGCCCCGUACACAAAAAUGCACAUGCUGUGAGCUCGAUGAGUAGGGCGGGACACGUGGUAUCCUGUCUGAAUAUGGGGGGACCAUCCUCCAAGGCUAAAUACUCCUGACUGACCGAUAGUGAACCAGUACCGUGAGGGAAAGGCGAAAAGAACCCCGGCGAGGGGAGUGAAAAAGAACCUGAAACCGUGUACGUACAAGCAGUGGGAGCACGCUUAGGCGUGUGACUGCGUACCUUUUGUAUAAUGGGUCAGCGACUUAUAUUCUGUAGCAAGGUUAACCGAAUAGGGGAGCCGAAGGGAAACCGAGUCUUAACUGGGCGUUAAGUUGCAGGGUAUAGACCCGAAACCCGGUGAUCUAGCCAUGGGCAGGUUGAAGGUUGGGUAACACUAACUGGAGGACCGAACCGACUAAUGUUGAAAAAUUAGCGGAUGACUUGUGGCUGGGGGUGAAAGGCCAAUCAAACCGGGAGAUAGCUGGUUCUCCCCGAAAGCUAUUUAGGUAGCGCCUCGUGAAUUCAUCUCCGGGGGUAGAGCACUGUUUCGGCAAGGGGGUCAUCCCGACUUACCAACCCGAUGCAAACUGCGAAUACCGGAGAAUGUUAUCACGGGAGACACAC